GACGAAGGGGGCUAGCGUUGUUCGGAAUUACUGGGCGUAAAGCGCGUGUAGGCGGUUGCCCAAGUCGGGUGGGAAAGCCUUGAGCUCAACUCAAGAAAUGCACUCGGUACUGGGUGACUAGAGGACCGGAGAGGAUAGUGGAAUUCCCAGUGUAGUGGUGAAAUGCGCAGAUAUCAGGAAGAACACCCGUGGCGAAGGCGGCUCUCUGGGACGGUACUGACGCUGAGGCGCGAAAGCUAGGGGAGCAAACGGG
rnacentral:rRNA from 1 species